UGGGGGAUAUUGCACAAUGGGCGAAAGCCUGAUGCAGCGACGCCGCGUGGGGGAUGAAGGCUUUCGGGUUGUAAACCUCUUUCGCUAUCGAACAAGGCCUGCUUAGGGUGGGUUGAGGGUAGGUGGAGAAGAAGCGCCGGCUAACUACGUGCCAGCAGCCGCGGUAAUACGUAGGGCGCGAGCGUUGUCCGGAAUUAUUGGGCGUAAAGGGCUUGUAGGCGGCUUGUUGCGCCUGCUGUGAAAACGCGGGGCUUAACUUCGCGCGUGCAGUGGGUACGGGCAGGCUUGAGUGUGGUAGGGGUGACUGGAAUUCCAGGUGUAGCGGUGGAAUGCGCAGAUAUCUGGAGGAACACCGAUGGCGAAGGCAGGUCACUGGGCCAUUACUGACGCUGAGGAGCGAAAGCAUGGGUAGCGAACAGG
rnacentral:rRNA from 1 species